CAGUUCUGCUAGUAAACUCUGCUCCGUGGGAAACAGAGAAUGCUUCAGAAUUGCAGCCAGGCUUGCCUCUGAUUCCGCUAAAUUAAUCAUCUGUCGUAUAUCCUAAAAAUUUUGGUCGAUAAACAAGAUUG